UACGGGGGGGGCAAGCGUUGUUCGGAAUUACUGGGCGUAAAGGGCUCGUAGGUGGCCAACUAAGUCAGACGUGAAAUCCCUCGGACUUAACCGGGGACUGCGUCUGAUACUGGAUGGCUUGAGUUCGGGAGAGGAUGCGGAAUUGCCAGGUGUAGCGGUGAAAUGCGUAGAUAUCUGGAGGAACACCGGUGGCGAAGGCGCAUCCUGGACCGGACACUGACGCUGAGGAGCGAAAGCCAGGGGAGCAAACGGG
rnacentral:rRNA from 1 species